rnacentral:rRNA from 1 species
GACAGAGGGUGCAAACGUUGUUCGGAAUUACUGGGCGUAAAGAGCUCGUAGGUGGUUUGUCGCGUUGUUCGUGAAAACUCACAGCUCAACUGUGGGCGUGCGGGCGAUACGGGCAGACUGGAGUACUGCAGGGGAGACUGGAAUUCCUGGUGCAGCGGUGGAAUGCGCAGAUAUCAGGAGGAACACCGGUGGCGAAGGCGGGUCUCUGGGCAGUAACUGACGCUGAGGAGCGAAAGCGUGGGGAGCGAACAGG